GCAAAAUAACCAGUAGGGAGCUCAUCAGAGCUCUAUGGCCAAAGAAGACAGGUGGUCUCCACCUCCCUCCACUGAAUGAGAACCAUGGUCCCUCUGACUCCUGGUUCAGGGCUCUGGUCCCUGAGGAGAAAGUUGAAGAGAAG
rnacentral:lncRNA from 1 species